AUCGCUGAUGGAUUCCGGGACAAGAUCAGUCUCUGAAUCCAGCCUCGGGAGACGGGGUUUUGUUUCAGACAUCGAAGAUGUCUGGGAAACUCUUGCCACUCUUGUUCAGGCCUUGGUGGAAGUUUACCUGCUCCAGAAGAUCUCUUCUGACCCCCAGCCGAUGCCCCCAUCCUAAGGACUUAUAAACCCAGUGCCCGUAACUGUGGUUCACAAGCAGACUGCACCUGG